rnacentral:rRNA from 1 species
UACGUAGGGGGCUAGCGUUGUCCGGAUUUAUUGGGCGUAAAGAGCGUGUAGGCGGCCAGGUAGGUCUGCUGUGAAAACUCGAGGCUCAACCUCGAGACGUCGGUUGAAACCAUCUGGCUAGAGUCCGGAAGAGGAGAGUGGAAUUCCUGGUGUAGCGGUGAAAUGCGCAGAUAUCAGGAAGAACACCCGUGGCGAAGGCGGCUCUCUGGGACGGUACUGACGCUGAGACGCGAAAGCGUGGGGAGCGAACAGG